rnacentral:rRNA from 1 species
GUACGCUUCUUUUUCCACCGGAGCUUGCUCCACCGGAAAAAGAAGAGUGGCGAACGGGUGAGUAACACGUGGGUAACCUGCCCAUCAGAAGGGGAUAACACUUGGAAACAGGUGCUAAUACCGUAUAACAAUCGAAACCGCAUGGUUUUGAUUUGAAAGGCGCUUUCGGGUGUCGCUGAUGGAUGGACCCGCGGUGCAUUAGCUAGUUGGUGAGGUAACGGCUCACCAAGGCCACGAUGCAUAGCCGACCUGAGAGGGUGAUCGGCCACAUUGGGACUGAGACACGGCCCAAACUCCUACGGGAGGCAGCAGUAGGGAAUCUUCGGCAAUGGACGAAAGUCUGACCGAGCAACGCCGCGUGAGUGAAGAAGGUUUUCGGAUCGUAAAACUCUGUUGUUAGAGAAGAACAAGGAUGAGAGUAACUGUUCAUCCCUUGACGGUAUCUAACCAGAAAGCCACGGCUAACUACGUGCCAGCAGCCGCGGUAAUACGUAGGUGGCAAGCGUUGUCCGGAUUUAUUGGGCGUAAAGCGAGCGCAGGCGGUUUCUUAAGUCUGAUGUGAAAGCCCCCGGCUCAACCGGGGAGGGUCAUUGGAAACUGGGAGACUUGAGUGCAGAAGAGGAGAGUGGAAUUCCAUGUGUAGCGGUGAAAUGCGUAGAUAUAUGGAGGAACACCAGUGGCGAAGGCGGCUCUCUGGUCUGUAACUGACGCUGAGGCUCGAAAGCGUGGGGAGCAAACAGGAUUAGAUACCCUGGUAGUCCACGCCGUAACGAUG